AUUGAACGCUGGCGGCAUGCCUUACACAUGCAAGUCGAACGGCAGCACGGGAGCAAUCCUGGUGGCGAGUGGCGAACGGGUGAGUAAUAUAUCGGAACGUGCCCAGUCGUGGGGAUAACGUAGCGAAAGCUACGCUAAUACCGCAUACGAUCUAUGGAUGAAAGCGGGGGAUCGCAAGACCUCGCGCGAUUGGAGCGGCCGAUAUCAGAUUAGGUAGUUGGUGAGGUAAAGGCUCACCAAGCCAACGAUCUGUAGCUGGUCUGAGAGGACGACCAGCCACACUGGAACUGAGACACGGACCAGACUCCUACGGGAGGCAGCAGUGAGGAAUAUUGGACAAUGGGCGCAAGCCUGAUCCAGCCAUGCCGCGU
rnacentral:rRNA from 1 species